GGCAGCGUGGUGUAGUGGUCUGAGCAUUGGACUACAACUCUGAAGAUCAGUGUUCAAAUCCCUGCUCCACUG